UACAGAGGUCUCAAGCGUUGUUCGGAUUUACUGGGCGUAAAGGGCGCGUAGGCGGCGUGACAAGUCACUUGUGAAAUCUCCGGGCUUAACUCGGAGCGGCCAAGUGAUACUGUCGUGCUAGAGUGCGGAAGGGGCUACUGGAAUUCUCGGUGUAGCGGUGAAAUGCGUAGAUAUCGAGAGGAACACCUGCGGCGAAGGCGGGUAGCUGGGCCGACACUGACGCUGAGGCGCGAAAGCUAGGGGAGCGAACGGG
rnacentral:rRNA from 1 species